AACCAUAGAAACCUGCGGAGUACCUGCGGAAGGAUCAUUACAGAGUGUAACCCCCUGUAAAAUGGGGGUACCUCCCGUCCUUUGCAGGCCCUUUAGGGUCUUUUACUCUUUGCUUCGGUGGGGUAACCCACCGGAACACUCUCAAAAAAUUCUGAUUUUAAAAUUGUUCAGUCUGAGAAUUUUGAAAAUAAAAUAAAAACUUUCAACAACGGAUCU
rnacentral:misc_RNA from 1 species